rnacentral:misc_RNA from 1 species
UCCUCCCUCAAACCUCGUGUUUGGUGUUGGACCGCGUUGGCCGAGCGACCAACUGGUCUCAAAGACAAUGACGGCGUCCGUGGGACCCUCGGUGCAACGAGCUUCUAAGGAGCACGCGUCGAGUUUCAAGGACCCUCCGGGCCGGUCUUGACCUCUAUCUUCUCA